GGCUGCAUAGUGGAAAUUAUUAAGACGUUAGAUUGCAAAUCUAAAGAUGUGUAUAUCACUGGAGCUU
rnacentral:tRNA from 1 species